rnacentral:RNase_P_RNA from 3 species
UGAGCUGGCCAGGCGGCCGCGUCGAGCCGGAAGGCUCGCCGAGGAACGUCCGGGCUCCACAGGGCAGGGUGGUGGGUAACACCCACCCGGGGUGACCCGCGGGACAGUGCCACAGAGAACAGACCGCCCCCGCACGACCUCCGGGCCGUGAGGGGGUAAGGGUGAAACGGUGGUGUAAGAGACCACCAGCGUGCCGGGUGACCGGCACGGCUCGGUAAACCCCACCCGGAGCAAGGCCAGACAGGGAGCGUUCGAGGGCUGCCCGCCCGAGCUCCCGGGUAGGCCGCUGGAGGCGCACGGCGACGUGCGUCGUAGAUGGAUGGCCGCCACCCGUGCGGGGGCAACCGCGCACGGGGACAGAACCCGGCGUACCGGCCAGCUCAUCCG